GCUAACUACGGUCCAGAGGCCGGGGUAAGAGGAAGGAUGGAAGCGUUAUCCGGAGGCAUUGGGUUUAAAGUGUGCGUAGGCGGACUUGUAAGUCAGUGGUGAAAUCUCUUUGCUUAACAAAGAAACUGCCAUUGAUACUGCUAGUCUAGAGUAUAUAUGACGUUGGCGGAAUAUGACAUGUAGUGGUGAAAUACUUAGAUAUGUCAUAGAACACCGAUUGCGAAGGCAGCUAACGAAACUAUAACUGACGCUGAGGCACGAAAGUGCGGGGAUCAAACAGGAUUAGAUACCCCGGUAGUC
rnacentral:rRNA from 1 species